rnacentral:lncRNA from 1 species
UUUUUUUUUUUUCCUUUUUCUGGAGAAUGGGGUCUUGCUAUAUUACCCAGGCAGGUCUUGACCUCCUGGGCUCAAGCCCUUCAGAGGGUAUGGGACAAGAUAACUCUGGAUGUGGUCAGGGUGGCAACAAGGUUCCUUGGUCCAUUCUUCUAUAGCUAGAACUGAAAUGGCAAGAAAAGAAGUGAGGGUCUUAGGGAAUCACUUCCUGCCUGAGAACAGAAAGCUACAUUAAAGGAGUCCCAUGGCAUGGAGGGACCCUGUCUGGGGUGAACCACCUAGGAAAAAGUUUGCAGGCAUGGAAAUGAAGAAAGUUAAUGAACAGUUCAUUCACUCAAAGACAAACCUUGUGAAGGAUGCAGCAUAGCACUGAAUUAAGAACACAGGUUUUGGAGUCAGACUGACAUGGAUUGAGAUUCUGGCUCCACCUCCUACCAGCUAAAUAAUGUCAAUGAAUCGCUCACCUGAAGAGGAGAGGAGCUGUGUGUGCUCAGUGCAGACUUACGGUGCCUUCAGCAAACUGACAAGUUUAGUCAUGUAGAAAGACUAAGUUCAUUGAUAAUUUAUUCACUCAUUUAUUAAAUAAAUGAAUUAUAUUCUUCCUUUCUGAGAACAUAGUCCUUAGCUUUAAUAUUCACCUUGCAUACUGGAUUUUACAAUCAAUUAUCUUUGCAAAGGCCUCUCUGAAGAAGUGUUUUACUUUCACUCGGUACAGGAGAUGAUACUUUCAACCCUCUUCUGAUGAGACUUCACCAAUUACUAAGCACCCUGAGAAGCAGGUGGAGCCCUCAGAAGCAAACACAGCUGUAUUCAGUUAAAAGUACACAUCUAAUUGGUCUCACUAAAUUUGCAUGAAAUAGAGAUGUAACUGGCACACACCAGCCACCCAGUCCCUGUCAUUUUCCUGCCCAAGGGCGACAUUCUGUAAAGGAACAGUGAUGGAAGAGUGACACGGGAGCAGGACUGCAGCUGCUGGCUGGCACCCCUUCACCCCAGUUCAGAUCUAUUUCUAACCCAACUCCAGGGGUUCUGCUUCCAUUAUUUCUUGCCACAUAACAAAUCUCCCUUAAACUUACUGGAUUAAACCCACCACUGUUUCAUUUUCUGACAUGAUUUUCUGUGUUGGCUGGGCUCAGCUGGGGAGUUCUUCUGCACCACAGGACCUUGGCCGAAGCUGCAGUCACCUAGAGGCAUAACUGGGCUGGGGAGUCCAAGAGGGCUCACCCACACAUCUGAUGUUUGGUGAGGAUGGCCAGGAGGCUAGGGUGGCUGGGCCUGUCUCAUUGGUGUGAUCUCAGGCCUCUCCCUCUUCACAUGAACUCUCUGCAUGGUCUCUUUGGGUGGUCACUAAGCAGGGUAGCCAGACUUUGUUACACAGUGGCUUAGGGCUCUCCAAAGACAAAAGUAGAAGCUACCAGGCUUCUUACUGCUUAGGCCCAGAACUGUCUCUUCCCCACAUUCUAUUAACUAAGCAAGUCACAGACCAGCCUAGACUCACUAUAGGAGGGGGCUGCACAAGGGUGUGAAUCUUUCAGGGCAUGGCUCCUUGGGGACCACCUUGGACAACAGCUGUCACGGGUUCUCUAGCUGGGGUUUCGUAGGCAUAUGAGAGAAG